UAGAUACCCUGGUAGUCCUGGCCGUAAACGAUGAAUGCUAGGUGUAGGAGGUAUCGACCCCUCCUGUGCCGGAGUUAACGCAAUAAGCAUUCCGCCUGGGGAGUACGGUCGCAAGACUGAAACUCAAAGGAAUUGACGGGGGCCCGCACAAGCGGUGGAGUAUGUGGUUUAAUUCGACGCAACGCGAAGAACCUUACCAGGGCUUGACAUUGAGUGAAAGAGCUAGAGAUAGCUUCCUCUCGGGACACGG
rnacentral:rRNA from 1 species